ACAACCCUCUACAAGGCCAAACAUCUUGCAAAAUUGGUUUUGAACAAUAUAAACCUCUGAAAAAGUUGACAUUAGAGCAUCCACAAGUGACGUGUGACUUUUCUGAAACUCAUUCUCCUUCUAUUACCCUUCAUACACUCAUUCCCACACUCUUUUAUCUCAACUUCCAUCUUCAUCUCCCUCACCGAUAAAAAAGGCUCUUAAUCACCAUUAUUGUUAGUGUUUCAACAUCUGAAACUCUAAACAACCGAGCUCAGCCUCACGCCACCAUUCACACCUUCAACCAUUUCUUCUCCCUACAACAGGAUCAGACAUCUCUACAAAGUUCUCAACACUCUCGCUUCGCUCAAGACUCAUAACCAUAACAAAAACACAAAAGUACACAAGGUAAAAAUUGAACAUAAAAGGAAAGGAAAGAAGAGGAUUGAGGAAACAUCGAGUCAGGUAUUAGUUUACCUGGUAGCUGGAGGGUGUUCUUGUACUGCUUGUGUCAUCUUUUUCUCCUCACUCCGAAAUUCGCCGGAACGCUUCUCAUCACCACCGAAAGCUUCCACCACUCAGAAGUAACACUCCUGCGAUUUCAAGCUUGGAUAUAAAAAAAAGAUAAAGAAGAAAAAUAAUGAGAGACAUUUUUAAGAGUAAUAACAUUAGAGGCAAUAAAGUCAUAUUUUGAACAAACUAUCGAAGUAAUUCCUGAUGCUAUAUUAGAUUCGAUUGUUUCUGAAGGAAGAUAAAAAAAAACAUUGGAGGAGGGAAUAUUAGAUGCCCAUGUAAGAAUUGCAGAACCAGAAAUUGGAAACUAUGUAAAGCAAGAAGGUUAAGACGAAGAAGAUAUAAUGGAAGAAUGUCCUAAUGAAGAAGCACAAAAGUUCUUUGCAAUGUUGAAAGCCUCACAAUCACCUUUAUGGGAUGGAUGUGAUAGAUAUUUUGUGUUGUUGGGUUCUUUAACAACAUUAAGUUUGAAAGCCGACUAUGGGUUUUCUCAAGGCUGUUUUAAUGGAUGGAUGCAAUUUAUGGGAAAUGCUUUGCCAUAGAGUAAUUGUAUGCCUAAAAGUUUUUAUCAAGAAGAUAAAUCGAUUGUUAGAACUAGGAUUAGUGAGUUUAAAAAUUGAAUAUUGUGUGAAAGGAUUAUGUUGUAUUAUAACGAGAAUGACACUCUCCAAGAGUGUAACGUAUGUGGAGAGGAGCCAUAUAGAAAUGU